UAAGCGGAGGAAAAGAAACUAACAAGGAUUCCCCUAGUAACUGCGAGUGAAGCGGGAAAAGCUCAAAUUUAAAAUCUGGUGGUCUUUGGCCAUUCGAGUUGUAAUUUAGAGAAGCGUCUUCCGCGCUGGACCGUGCACAAGUCUCCUGGAAUGGAGCGUCAUAGAGGGUGAGAAUCCCGUCUUUGGCACGGACACACCAGGGCUUUUGUGAUGCGCUCUCGAAGAGUCGAGUUGUUUGGGAAUGCAGCUCAAAAUGGGUGGUGAACUCCAUCUAAAGCUAAAUAUUGGCGAGAGACCGAUAGCGAACAAGUACCGUGAGGGAAAGAUGAAAAGCACUUUGGAAAGAGAGUGAAACAGUACGUGAAAUUGUUGAAAGGGAAACGCUUGAAGUCAGUCACGUCGACCGAGACUCAGCCUUGCCUUGGUUUGGUGUACUUCUCGGCUGACGGGUCAGCAUCAAUUUUGCCCCUUGGAUAAUGGCGAGGGUAAUGUGACACCUUUACGGUGUGUUAUAGUCUCUCGUCGCAUGCAAGGGUUGGGAUUGAGGAACUCAGCACGCGCCUUUGGGUGUCGGGGCUUUGCCCACGAUACGUGCUUAGGAUGUUGGCAUAAUGGCUUUAAACGACC
rnacentral:rRNA from 1 species